GAGUCCCAGGAAUCGGAAGCCAUGGAUGACCCACACAUGCUUUGAGACCUCCUUCAGAUCUGGAGUUUCCUGGAAACCUACCAUAAAGUUGAACAAAUUGUAGAACAGACUUAUGGCUGGUGGUGGCAGACUCAACAUCAAAGUAUGCUUCGUGGUGUUCUGGGAAAGGCUUUUCGACUUGCUGGCUAUACCAUUCAGUAUGGCUGUAUAGCUCAUUGUGCUUUUGAAUACAUUGGUGGUGUUGUAAUGUGUUCUGGACCAUCAAUGGAACCCACAAUUCAAAAUUCAGAUAUUGUCUUUGCAGAAAAUCUUAGCCGACAUUUUUAUGGCAUCCAAAGAGGUGACAUUGUAAUUGCAAAAAGCCCAAGUGAUCCAAAAUCAAAUAUCUGUAAAAGAGUAAUUGGUUUGGAAGGAGACAAAAUCCUCAGCACUAGUCCAUCUGAUGUAUUUAAGAGUCGUAGUUAUGUGCCAACAGGUCAUGUUUGGUUAGAAGGUGAUAACUUACAGAAUUCUACCGAUUCCAGGUAUUACGGACCUAUACCAUAUGGACUAAUAAGAGGACGUAUCUUCUUUAAGAUUUGGCCUUUCAGUGACUUUGGAUUUCUGCGUGACAGCCCAAAUGGCCACAGAUUUUCUGAUGAUUAAUAAGUUUUUCCUUUUAACUUGAUUAUUGUCUCCUAUUCAAGUGAAUUUAUUAACUACAGUUGAAACCAUGAACUUAACAAUAAACUAUUUGCUAUUCA